rnacentral:rRNA from 1 species
UACGGAAUGUGCAAACGUUAUUCGGAAUCACUGGGCUUAAAGAGUCCGUAGGCGGCUUGUUAGGUGAGGUGUGAAAUCCCUCGGCCCAACCGAGGAAUUGCGCUUCAAACCGGCAAGAUAGAGGAGGAUAGAGGUGGGCGGAACUGAUGGUGGAGCGGUGAAAUGCGUUGAUAUCAUCAGGAACACCGGAGGCGAAGGCGGUCCACUGGGUCCUUUCUGACGCUGAGGGACGAAAGCUAGGGGAGCGAACGGG